CCUACGGGAGGCAGCAGUGAGGAAUAUUGGUCAAUGGACGAGAGUCUGAACCAGCCAAGUAGCGUGAAGGAUGACUGCCCUAUGGGUUGUAAACUUCUUUUAUAUGGGAAUAAAAUGUUCCACGUGUGGGAUUUUGUAUGUACCAUAUGAAUAAGGAUCGGCUAACUCCGUGCCAGCAGCCGCGGUAAUACGGAGGGUCCGAGCGUUAUCCGGAUUUAUUGGGUUUAAAGGGAGCGUAGGUGGAUUGUUAAGUCAGUUGUGAAAGUUUGCGGCUCAACCGUAAAAUUGCAGUUGAAACUGGCAGUCUUGAGUACAGUAGAGGUAGGCGGAAUUCGUAGUGUAGCGGUGAAAUGCUUAGAUAUCACGAAGAACUCCGAUUGCGAAGGCAGUUCACUGGACUGCAACUGACACUGAGGCUCGAAAGUGUGGGUAUCAAACAGGAUUAGAUACCCGGGUAGUC
rnacentral:rRNA from 1 species